AUACAAUCUUAUAGUUUUAGACAUCAAAAGCCCAGGUGGGUCUGAAAUCAAGGUUUCAGCAGGGCUGCAUUCUUCCAGGGGCUCUAGAGGAGGUGAACUUUUGUUGAGUUCGGUGCUGAUGUUGACUUUUUAAGGUAGCAGGUUCUUAGUAACUGCAUUCACCCUUAUAAUUUCAGAGUCCUGAGCUCAGAUCCAAAUGUGGUGCCAGCACAGACCUUCCUGUGAUGCUGUUGAAAGAAAGGAAGUGUGUGGUGGCUCGGGUUUUUCGUGGUUAGCUUUGUGUUUAGCUUGCUGUUGAAGGAUGUGAGCUCCCAACAUACAAUUAAUCGUGAGCAAGUCUCAGACUUCUUAGAUGUGAAUGGAAGGCUGUCAGGUCUUCUUUUAAGCUAACCAGGUUUAAGCAGCUAAGUUGUAUUACGGUCUUUCCAGACUGAAUCUGAGCUCUUUGGGUGGAUAAUUCGUGUCAGAUUGGCCAAACCAGUGAGGAUUAAGGAAGGCUCAUCCAGACCAGAUGGUGACUGGCUGAAGAAGUUUUCCAGUAGGACCCUUGGAGAGACUAAAGAAGAGGGAGGGUUGGAGCCUUCCAAGGUGGAAGCCUAGGAGGGAGUGCCCUCUGCAAAGAAGGCCCGGUCAAAUCCCCAGGUGUACAUGGACAUCAGGAUUGGGAACAAGCCUGCUGGCCGCAACCACAUACCCCUGCAUUCCAGUGUGUUCCCAGGACCACAGGCCUGCUCUCCAUGGCCAGCUUUAGCCUAAACACCAGUGGCUCCCAGUUCUUCCUGACAUGUGACAAGACAGAUUGGCUGGAUGGCAAGGACGUGGUGUUUGGGGAAGUCACGGAAGGCCUGGAUGUCUUGCGGCAGAUUGAGGCCGAAGGCAGCAAGGACGGGAAGCCAAAGCAGAAGGUGAUCAUUGCCGACUGUGGGGAGUACAUGUGAGAUGGGGCCUUUUCUGCACUGUCCCCACGUGUCCAGGAGCUGUCAGCCCCGGGAACCGCACCUGAGGGUGUCCUGUUUGCAGCAAGCAGGAGUUUGUGUCGUAGCCCUUCUCGGGGUCACCUUGGAGCAGCUCCUCUGUGGGAGUGGCCUGGGAUCCCUCUGGCUCUUUUCCAGUGUGGCCGUGGGCCUGGGAGCUGGUACAGGCCCCACCGCCCUACCGCGGACAGGUUGUGCAUGACCUUUUCCAGGCCUUUGCUGCCAGGACCUCUCUUGGGCCCACCAGUGUGACUCCGGAUGUUUCUUCUGGUAAAAUAAACCCUCAUUCUUGU